GCCCCCAUAGCUCAACGGUAGAGCUUUGCACUGUUAAUGCAACAAUAGGUGUUCGAUUCAUCUUGGGGGCG